UACGUAGGGUGCAAGCGUUAAUCGGAAUUACUGGGCGUAAAGCGUGCGCAGGCGGUUUGGCAAGAAGGAUGUGAAAUCCCGGGGCUUAACCUCGGAACUGCAUUCUUAACUGCCAGGCUAGAGUAUGUCAGAGGGGGGUAGAAUUCCACGUGUAGCAGUGAAAUGCGUAGAGAUGUGGAGGAAUACCGAUGGCGAAGGCAGCCCCCUGGGAUAAUACUGACGCUCAUGCACGAAAGCGUGGGGAGCAAACAGG
rnacentral:rRNA from 1 species